CAGAGUAAAUGGGUUGUCUUACACAGACGCUCUUUGAUGUUCUUUGUUAUUAUCUGCAAUUGCGAUGCCAUAUCAUUGUCGAAGGUUUGUCACAAACUGCGCAAAAGCAAAAUGCAUGAGUGA